rnacentral:rRNA from 1 species
AAGCCCUUCGGGGUGGAUUAGUGGCGAACGGGUGAGUAACACGUGGGCAAUCUGCCCUUCACUCUGGGACAAGCCCUGGAAACGGGGUCUAAUACCGGAUAACACUCGCCGAGGCAUCUCGGUGGGUUGAAAGCUCCGGCGGUGAAGGAUGAGCCCGCGGCCUAUCAGCUUGUUGGUGAGGUAGAAGCUCACCAAGGCGACGACGGGUAGCCGGCCUGAGAGGGCGACCGGCCACACUGGGACUGAGACACGGCCCAGACUCCUACGGGAGGCAGCAGUGGGGAAUAUUGCACAAUGGGCGAAAGCCUGAUGCAGCGACGCCGCGUGAGGGAUGACGGCCUUCGGGUUGUAAACCUCUUUCAGCAGGGAAGAAGCGAAAGUGACGGUACCUGCAGAAGAAGCGCCGGCUAACUACGUGCCAGCAGCCGCGGUAAUACGUAGGGCGCAAGCGUUGUCCGGAAUUAUUGGGCGUAAAGAGCUCGUAGGCGGUCUGUCACGUCGGAUGUGAAAGCCCGGGGCUUAACCCCGGGUCUGCAUUCGAUACGGGCAGACUAGAGUGUGGUAGGGGAGAUCGGAAUUCCUGGUGUAGCGGUGAAAUGCGCAGAUAUCAGGAGGAACACCGGUGGCGAAGGCGGAUCUCUGGGCCAUUACUGACGCUGAGGAGCGAAAGCGUGGGGAGCGAACAGGAUUAGAUACCCUGGUAGUCCACGCCGUAAACGGUGGGAACUAGGUGUUGGCGACAUUCCACGUCGUCGGUGCCGCAGCUAACGCAUUAAGUUCCCCGCCUGGGGAGUACGGCCGCAAGGCUAAAACUCAAAGGAAUUGACGGGGGCCCGCACAAGCAGCGGAGCAUGUGGCUUAAUUCGACGCAACGCGAAGAACCUUACCAAGGCUUGACAUCGCCCGGAAAGCAUCAGAGAUGGUGCCCCCCUUGUGGUCGGGUGACAGGUGGUGCAUGGCUGUCGUCAGCUCGUGUCGUGAGAUGUUGGGUUAAGUCCCGCAACGAGCGCAACCCUUGUUCUGUGUUGCCAGCAUGCCCUUCGGGGUGAUGGGGACUCACAGGAGACUGCCGGGGUCAACUCGGAGGAAGGUGGGGACGACGUCAAGUCAUCAUGCCCCUUAUGUCUUGGGCUGCACACGUGCUACAAUGGCAGGUACAAUGAGCUGCGAUGUCGCAAGGCGGAGCGAAUCUCAAAAAGCCUGUCUCAGUUCGGAUUGGGGUCUGCAACUCGACCCCAUGAAGUCGGAGUUGCUAGUAAUCGCAGAUCAGCAUUGCUGCGGUGAAUACGUUCCCGGGCCUUGUACACACCGCCCGUCACGUCACGAAAGUCGGUAACACCCGAAGCCGGUGGCCCAACCCCCUUGUGGGGAGGGAGCUGUCGAAGGUGGGACUGGC